rnacentral:rRNA from 1 species
GCCUAAAAUUAAGCCUAGUCCACCCUAUAUGAGACCCCCACCCUAAUUAAACCCAAUGAAACAUCUUACCAGUUUAGUAAAGGCGAUCAAAACACUUAUUAGCGCUUUAUCCUCCAGUACCGCAAGGGAAUAAUGAAAUAAACCUGAAAUAGACUUUAAGCAAAAUACAGCAGAGACUGCCACUCGUACCUUUUGCAUCAUGGUUUAGUCAGUCUUACUCAAGCAAAGCGAAACAUCAGUUUGACCCCCCGAAACCAGACGAGCUACUUCAAAACAGCUUCAUAGAGCCAACCCAUCUCUGUUGCAAAAGAGUGGGAUGAUUUUUAAGUAGAGGUGAAAAGCCUACCGAGCCUGGAGAUAGCUGGUUAUUCAGGAAAAGAAUUUUAGUUCAACCUUAAGCCUAUACAUUAACCACACAAAACCCAAAGACUUAAGAGCCACUCAAAUAAGGCACAGCUUAUUUGACAAAGGAGACAACCUAUAAAAAAGGGUAAAAAUUUUUUACAGCUUAAGUGGGCCUAAAAGCAGCCACCUUUAAAAAAGCGUUAAAGCUUGUUCUUCCAUUGAAAUUAAUUUCUAAAAAUUUCUUAAACCCUUUACCCCUACUGAAUGAUUCUAUACUACUUCUAUAGAAGACCUAAUGCUAAAACUAGUAACAAGAAAUUGAAUUUCUCCAAAACGUAAGUAUAAACCAAAAAGGACAAACCAUUGGUAAUUAACGUUAAUGAAAACUAUAUAGCAACUUCUUCAAGAAAACCCUAUUUUCACCAACGUUAAUCUCACACAAGCACACUUCUGGAAAGAUUAAAAGAAAGGGAAGGAACUCGGCAAAUUUUAACCCCGCCUGUUUACCAAAAACAUCGCCUCUUGCUAAUCUAUAAGAGGUCCAGCCUGCCCAGUGACACAAUUAAACGGCCGCGGUACCCUGACCGUGCGAAGGUAGCAUAAUCACUUGUUCUCUAAAUAGGGACUAGUAUCAACGGCAUCACGAGGGUUAUACUGUCUCCCCUCUCUAAUCAGUGAAACUGACCUCCCCGUGAAGAGGCGGGGAUAAAAGUACAAGACGAGAAGACCCCAUGGAGCUUUAAACCCAAUGACAACCUCUAUCAUCUACUUCCUUUAAACACAGAAGCUAUGUUCAUUGGUUUUAGGUUGGGGUGACCACGGAGCAUAAAAAACCCUCCAUGACGAAUAGAUAUUCAUCCUAAUCCCAGAGCUACUGCUCUAAGAAUCAAAAAUUUGACGUACUAUGAUCCGGCAACCGAUCAACGAACCAAGUUACCCUGGGGAUAACAGCGCAAUCCAUUUUAAGAGCCCUUAUCGACAAAUGGGUUUACGACCUCGAUGUUGGAUCAGGGUAUCCCAGUGGUGCAGCCGCUACUAAAGGUUUGUUUGUUCAACAAUUAAAACCCU